UACGUAGGGUGCAAGCGUUGUCCGGAAUUACUGGGCGUAAAGGGCGCGUAGGCGGCCUUCUAAGUCGAACGUGAAAUCCCCGGGCUCAACCCGGGAACUGCGUCCGAUACUGGAAGGCUUGAAUCCGGGAGAGGGAUGUGGAAUUCCAGGUGUAGCGGUGAAAUGACGUAGAUAUCAGGAGGAACACCGGUGGCGAAGGCGGAUCUCUGGGCCGUUACCUGACGCUGGAGGCGACGAAAGCGUGGGGGAGCAAACAGG
rnacentral:rRNA from 1 species